AGAUAAUGGGAAGCCUCCUACCCUGGUGACCAGCAUGAUCGACUACAACAUGCCAAUCACCAUGGCGUACAUGAAGCACAUGAAACUGCAGCUGCUAAACUCACAGCAAGAUGAGGAUGAAAGUUCAAUAGAGAGUGAUGAAUUUGAUAUGAGUGAUUCAACUCGGAUGUCCGCCGUGAACUCUGACCUUAGCUCCAAUCUGGAAGAAAGAGUGCAAAGUCCCCAGACUGCCCAGGGCCAGCAGGAUGGUAAGCUUUUCACACCGAACAAACGAUAGAUAAGGCAGCGAGACCAGCAAUGAGUAAGACUCUAUUAAAAUCACAACCACCUCUUCACUCUUGUGUCCAUUUAAAAAAAAUCUGUCUCUAUGGAGACAUUUUCUGGGCACUCAGGUUAUGUCAUCCACUUUAUUAUUUUUAGAUUUAAGUACUCUUUUCAAAAUUAAAGUGUUAGACUGAUUUAUAAAAAGAUGUCAGUUAUGAAAUCCGGGCAUAUCUUGCUUUCUUUUUAAAUAUGAAAUGUGCUACACUCCCUCCAUCCACCUCAUAAUUGUUAACAUUUCUUAGAGCUCUUAUUACCAUGUGAGACUAUAUUAUUUUCUCAUUCAUUACCCUUUCCUCUUCUAUUAUUAAUUUAUAAGUAUUCUUCCACUAUGAGUUUCCUGUCAUGUGCUCCAUUUCAAAUUCUUCUUACAUGUCCCAUCAUUUAAAUAAUUAAGGUGUAGCUUUCCAAUAUAAUUAUGGUUUGUAAAAUGAGUUUUACAUAUUUUCUUUCCUUUAUCCUGAUAAUAGCAUUCUCUUAAAUUAUCCAUGCUAGCACCAUACUGUUCAAUUCCCAUGUGCACAUGCAUGUGCACAUCCCUAAACAUACCUAUACUACUUUAUUAUACUUGUUUUAUACCUAAAGUGUGCUCUUUAUCUUGUGCUAUUCAUACCUAAUUAUUUUCUUUUGCAUGUAAGUUAUAUACAUAUAUGUGUAUGGCAUACAUUUGUGUAUGUACAAAAUAUUAUCUUGUGUGUAUAAAUAUAUGUAUUUGUAUGUAAUGCUGAGCAAAUAAAUGAAUAAGACAUUUUAAGAAGCAU
rnacentral:lncRNA from 1 species